rnacentral:lncRNA from 1 species
GGCAGCCAGCUCUUGGGCCCAGUCUUCCUUCAGGCACAGUCUAGAAAGCUUGGCCUCCCCAAGCUGUCUGCAGCCUCAGCUGGGAUGACCUCCCAGCCUUUGAAAAGACGAGGUGGCUUCACAGAGCUCCCCGGUCUCCCAGGGCCCAAGAGGGGCACACCAGCUCUACCCCACUGUGCAGACAUGGGGGUGAGGCUCACUGGAACCCAGAGACCCGAGUCUCAGCCAGCAAACUGUCCCUUGGUAAACCGGGACCAGAGCCCUUGUCCUUCCCCUUGAGGAAGGCACCGAUGGUUUCCCAGGAGUGUCACUUGUCCUCUGGCCAAAGCCACAGUGACAGUCCAGGCCAGGCUCCACCAGAAAGGUCCUGGCUUUCUGGAGCAGGAUCUUCUGUUUUGCCCCUUCUCUAACACAGAGCCAGCUGGACCCCCACUAUUUAUAGGGCUUCUUCGUGGACUGAGUGGAAUCACAUGUUCCCGGAGCCUUGCAGACAGGAACCUGCGGAUCCCAGGGUGCUGUUGUGAGUGCAGAGCUCAGAACCAUCCGGGCAGCUUCCUUGCCUUCAGCCAGCCCAGGCUCCGGGCUGACCUGAAUGGACGUGGCUGGUUUGCCCUUCCGUACUGACCUUGUUUGCCAGAGCUGUUGACCUCAGAAGUGGAGGCCCUGGAGCAGAGAGCUGCCUUAGGGUUCAAGACAGCGGCUUUCAAGCUUCUGUAGCCAGGGCCUGAGGAACAUGGGUGGGCCGGCCUCUCCCCAUCUCUACCUUUGGUCUGGGGGGCUCGGCUUUCAUGGCUCCCUAGC